GUUAGCGUGGCAGAGCCCGGUUAUGCAAAAGAUCUAAACCCUUUCAACCGGGGGUUCAAAUCCCCCCACUAACU
rnacentral:tRNA from 1 species